UAGGGAAUUUUCGGCAAUGGACGAAAGGCUGACCGAGCAACGCCGCGUGAGGGAAGAAGGUUUUCGGAUCGGAAAACUCUGUUGUUAGAGAAGAACAAGGACGUUAGUAACUGAACGUCCCCUGACGGUAUCUAACCAGAAAGCCACGGCUAACUACGUGCCAGCAGCCGCGGUAAUACGUAGGUGGCAAGCGUUGUCCGGAUUUAUUGGGCGUAAAGCGAGCGCAGGCGGUUUCUUAAGUCUGAUGUGAAAGCCCCCGGCUCAACCGGGGAGGGUCAUUGGAAACUGGGAGACUUGAGUGCAGAAGAGGAGAGUGGAAUUCCAUGUGUAGCGGUGAAAUGCGUAGUUAUAUGGAGGAACACCAGUGGCGAGGGCGGCUCUCUGGUCUGUAACUGACGCUGAGGCUCGAAAGCGUGGGGAGCAAACAGG
rnacentral:rRNA from 1 species